GCGGCGAUCGCGCGGGCGGCGCUGCGGUUACGGGCGGCGGUACGCCAGGGCCGACCCGGGCCGUACCAGUUGCAGGCCGGCAUCGCCGCGC
rnacentral:tRNA from 1 species